CGCGUUAUAAGAGAGAGCGAGAGUGCAACUGCGGAGCUUCUGGUGAUCAAACAGCAUUUAACAGUUUUACGAUGUCACGUUUCUCUACGCUAACAAUUGCAUUGCUUGCUAUCGUCCUAACAAUAUUAUCCGGGAAUUUUGAAUCGGCCGCAGGGCGCCGAGCUGCAGCUAGUAGCAUGUGCACGGGCCACUGCGUUCUACAACAGAACGGGGCGUUUAGUGGAUGUCCAGUUGAUGGUAAUUGUACGUGUACUGAAGUCGACAGAACAAAUCAUUGGCCAAAAAACGGUACCUGCAGAGACAAAGUAGCCCAUACUGGUCCUUGAUUUUUUUUUUUUCAAAAUAAAACCAGGAAAUAAAGGUGCUAUUCUAUGAUGAA